rnacentral:rRNA from 1 species
GACGAACGCUGGCGGCGUGCUUAACACAUGCAAGUCGAACGGAAAGGCCCCUUUGUGGGUACUCUAGUGGCGACCGGGUGCGUAACACUUGAGUAACCUUCCCUUGACUUCGGGAUAACUUCAGGUAACUGGGGCUAAUACCGGUUAGGAAUCCUUGCUGCAUGGUGGGGGUUGGAAAGCUUCGGCGGUUUUGGAUGUACUCGCGGCUUAUCAGCUUGUUGGUGGGGUAGUGGGUUACCAAGGCUUUGACGGGUAGCCGGACUGAGAGGGCGACCGGCGACAUUGAGACUGAGAGAAGGCACAGAUUCCGACGGGAGGGAGAAGGGGGGAAUAUUGAACAAUGGGCGGAGGCCGGAUGCAGAAACGCCGCGGGCGGGAUGACGGCCUUAGGGUGGUAAACCGAUUUCAGAAGGGGCGAAGCUUGUGGUGACGGUACCUGAAGAAGAAGCACCGGCUAACUACGUG